rnacentral:rRNA from 1 species
CAAUAGCGUAUAUUAAAGUUGUUGCAGUUAGAACGCUCGUAGUCGGAUUUCGGGGCGUUCCAACCGGUCUGCCGAUGGGUAUGCACUGGCCGGAGUGUCCUUUUUGCCGGAGACCGUGCCUACUCUUAACUGAGCGGGGGCGGGAGACGGCACUUUUACUUUGAAAAAAUCAGAGUGUUUCAAGCAGGCAGCUCGCUCUUGCAUGGAUUAGCAUGGGAUAAUGAAAUAGGACUUUGGUGCUAUUUUGUUGGUUUCGAACACCGAAGUAAUGAUGAGAAGGGACAGUCAGGGGCACUCGUAUUCCGCAGAGAGAGGUGAAAUUCUCAGACCCGCGGAAGACGAACCACUGCGAAAGCAUUUGCCAGGGAUGUUUUCACUGA